CCAGACUCCUACGGGAGGCAGCAGUGGGGGAUAUUGGACAAUGGGGGGAACCCUGAUCCAGCGACGCCGCGUGAGUGAAGAGGUAUUUCGGUAUGUAAAGCUCUGUCAGCAGGGAAGAAAGCAAUGACGGUACCUGACCAAGAAGCCCCGGCUAACUACGUGCCAGCAGCCGCGGUAAUACGUAGGGGGCGAGCGUUAUCCGGAAUUACUGGGUGUAAAGGGAGCGUAGACGGCUGUGCAAGUCUGGAGUGAAAGGCGGGGGCCCAACCCCCGGACUGCUCUGGAAAGUGUAUGGCUGGAGUGCAGGAGAGGUAAGCGGAAUUCCUAGUGUAGCGGUGAAAUGCGUAGAUAUUAGGAGGAACACCAGUGGCGAAGGCGGCUUACUGGACUGUAACUGACGUUGAGGCUCGAAAGCGUGGGGAGCAAACAGGAUUAGAUACCCCGGUAU
rnacentral:rRNA from 1 species